GUUUUGCCUGCUUUAAAAAAGUACCUGAUACGUUCUGACAUGAUUACACCGCUGAUUGAAGUGAUGAUAGGGGUAGGGUCACUGCUAAAAUAUCAUUUAAAUGCAUUUUCUUCUGACUUACGAGGCCGAAACUUCGAAGAUUGGCACUAUAAGUUCUCAAAGUGGAUGAAAUUUGAGUUGCGAGGUUUCAGGUUAAACAAAAAGUAUUUCAGUUAAUUGUGAUAAAUAAUAAUAAUGUAGAGACAGAUACUAUGCUUCGUCGCGGUUACUCGAUAAUUUCGAAUUUUUCUCGUCGCUUAUAGACACCGUUUUUUCCAGUUCAUAACACGUAAUUCUAUUAAUUAUCUCGAUUAAUAAACCGGUAAGUACAUUUAAUAACAUGCCACCUUUCGUUUCGUUUUUGUUUUCGCAGGAGAGAUUGCAUUUUUGACGAAUGCCGAGCUGGAAGAAAUCGGUCGGUGUUUAGAUCCGCCCAACGAAGGAUGGAGAGUCUUGGCCGCCUUCGUGGUAGACGAACAAUUCAUCGAAAUCGUAGGGAAAUAUAAUAGUCCGACGAAGAAAUUGUUAAACAUGUUUCAGGGCGAUCGGAGCGCCUUCAGAAACCUUUUGAUCGACGCCGGUCUGGACACUGCCAGAAGGAUUCUGCGCUGAACAUCUCCCUCUUCUCCCCAGUGCAUAACCCGUCAGGACCGAGAGGAAGACCGUCGCCGGUGUCACCAGUUAGUGUCCGACAAGGUUAUUAGAAUUACAAGAUUGCCUGACUUUGAUGCUUAUUGCUCGUGCAUAGCCUAUCGUGACUUCGAGGAGAGGAUUUUGAUCGGCUUGGACAUGGUGAAACUAUGUGAAAAAUGAGCGGAUACGUGUCCGAGCUUUUUGCCAAUUUGCCUUGAAAAUAUUAGUUUUUGAUGUUUCAAAAUUCAAAGAUUUGCAACGUAUAGUUGUAAGAGGUAAUGGAAAGAACAUCCGUAGGGUAGUUGUUAAAUUGUCAUUAAUUUAUGCCGACAGUUGUAACUUGUUUCAGUUUUCUUUCCUUUUUUAUUACUUAAUUUUUACCUAAUAAUAAAAUAAAUAUCCAAAUG